rnacentral:rRNA from 1 species
CCUACGGGAGGCAGCAGUGGGGAAUCUUGCACAAUGGGCGAAAGCCUGAUGCAGCGACGCCGCGUGGGGGAUGAAGCUUCUCGGAGUGUAAACCCCUUUCGAUCCGGACGAAUGCCUCGCAAGAGGAGUGACGGUACGGAUAUAAGAAGCCCCGGCUAACUACGUGCCAGCAGCCGCGGUAAUACGUAGGGGGCCAGCGUUGUUCGGAAUUACUGGGUGUAAAGGGUUCGUAGGCGGUGCGGCAAGUUGGGAGUGAAAUCUCUGGGCUCAACCCAGAGACGGCUUCCAAAACUGCUGUGCUUGAGUGUGGGAGAGGCGCGUGGAAUUGCAGGUGUAGCGGUGAAAUGCGUAGAUAUCUGCAGGAACACCCGUGGCGAAAGCGGCGCGCUGGACCACUACUGACGCUGAAGAACGAAAGCUAGGGGAGCAAACAGGAUUAGAUACCCUGGUAGUCCUAGCCCUAAACGAUCAGGACUUGGGGUGCCACCCGUUCGGGUGGCGUCCCGGAGCUAACGCGUUAAGUCCUGCACCUGGGGAGUACGGUCGCAAGACUGAAACUCAAAGGAAUUGACGGGGGCCCGCACAAGCGGUGGAACAUGUGGUUCAAUUCGACGCUACGCGAGGAACCUUACCUGGGCUCGAAAUGCUAGUGACCAGCUUUAGAAAUAUCGCCUUCCCGCAAGGGACGCUAGUAUGGGCGCUGCAUGGCUGUCGUCAGCUCGUGUCGUGAGAUGUUGGGUUAAGUCCCGCAACGAGCGCAACCCUUGUCCUGUGUUGCCACUCCCGUAAGGGAAGCACUCUCAGGAGACCGCCAGCGAUAAGUUGGAGGAAGGUGGGGAUGAUGUCAAGUCAUCAUGGCCUUUAUGUCCAGGG